GGCCGAUUAGCUCAGUUGGUUAGAGCGUCGUGCUAAUAACGCGAAGGUCUUGGGUUCGAUCCCCACAUGGGCCA
rnacentral:tRNA from 1 species